rnacentral:rRNA from 1 species
ACGAACGCUGGCGGCGUGCUUCACCCCUGCAAGUCGAACGGAAAGGCCCUGCUUUUGUGGGGUGCUCGAGUGGCGAACGGGUGAGUAACACGUGAGUAACCUGCCCUUGACUUUGGGAUAACUUCAGGAAACUGGGGCUAAUACCGGAUAGGAGCUCCUGCUGCAUGGUGGGGGUUGGAAAGUUUCGGCGGUUGGGGAUGGACUCGCGGCUUAUCAGCUUGUUGGUGGGGUAGCGGCUUACCAAGGCUUUGACGGGUAGCCGGCCUGAGAGGGUGACCGGCCACAUUGGGACUGAGAUACGGCCCAGACUCCUACGGGAGGCAGCAGUGGGGAAUAUUGCACAAUGGGCGGAAGCCUGAUGCAGCAACGCCGCGUGCGGGAUGACGGCCUUCGGGUUGUAAACCGCUUUCGCCUGUGACGAAGCGUGAGUGACGGUAAUGGGUAAAGAAGCACCGGCUAACUACGUG